rnacentral:rRNA from 1 species
GAUGAACGCUAGCGGCAGGCUUAAUACAUGCAAGUCGAGGGGCAGCGCAGUGUAGCAAUACAUGGGCGGCGACCGGCAAACGGGUGCGGAACACGUACAGAACCUUCCUUCGAGCGGGGAAUAGCCCAGAGAAAUUUGGAUUAAUACCCCAUAGUAUAUUAGAGUGGCAUCACUUUAAUAUUAAAGAUUUAUCACUUGAAGAUGGCUGUGCGGCUGAUUAGGAGUUGGCGGGGUAACGGCCCACCAAGCCAGCGAUCAGUAACUGGUGUGAGAGCACGACCAGUCACACGGGCACUGAGACACGGGCCCGACUCCUACGGGAGGCAGCAGUAAGGAAUAUUGGUCAAUGGACGCAAGUCUGAACCAGCCAUGCCGCGUGGAGGAUGAAGGUCCUCUGGA